rnacentral:rRNA from 1 species
UUGCGCCUACGGGAGGCAGCAGUGAGGAAUACUGGUCAAUGGCCGGAAGGCUGAACCAGCCACGCCGCGUGAGGGAGGAAGGCGCAGAGCGUCGCAGACCUCUUUUGCCGGGGGACAAAAGGCCGGACUCGUCCGGUCCUGAGGGUACCCGGAGAAAAAGCAUCGGCUAACUCCGUGCCAGCAGCCGUGGUAAUACGGAGGAUGCGAGCGUUAUCCGGAUUCAUUGGGUUUAAAGGGUGCGCAGGCGGGCCUUUAAGCCGG